rnacentral:rRNA from 1 species
CACGUAGGGUGCGAGCGUUGUCCGGAAUUAUUGGGCGUAAAGAGCUCGUAGGCGGUGUGUCGCGUCGGCCGUGAAAACCUGCAGCUUAACUGUGGGCUUGCGGUCGAUACGGGCAUCACUGGAGUUCGGCAGGGGAGACUGGAAUUCCUGGUGUAGCGGUGAAAUGCGCAGAUAUCAGGAGGAACACCGGUGGCGAAGGCGGCAUCCUGGACCGGCAUUGGACGCUGGAAGCGACGAAAGCUAGGGGAGCAAACGGG